rnacentral:lncRNA from 1 species
AAAAAAACUCACAUGCAUUUUUCUCCACUCUUCCACAGAAAGAAGCAUAGUUCUCCCAAGAAACUGAGUACCAAGUCCAGCCAGUGUCACUUUUUUUCCUCAGUGGAGUCUGAGGGACUUUUGAUCUCCAGAGAAAAGCGAUUCGGUAAAGCUGCCUCAUGGAAGACUACGCCCAGCAUCAAUAUUCUGAACAUCCUGCUGAACUGCACGACCUUUACAUGAGUGCAAGAGCCAGGCUUGGAAUGUGCAAUGACUUUGCAUCACCAAAUUGUUAUCUAACAAGACAUUGCUAUAAUGUUAUUCUGACAUACCAUAGACUAGCCCUUAAAAUGGAUGCCAGAUUUGUUUCUGCUAAUGUCUGACUAUGUCGACAAUUUGGCUGGCUUUUGCGAAUGGGCAAAAAGCCUGGGAUUUGCCUGUAAGUGCUUUGAAGCAGAAGUGCUUUUGUCUCUCUGGUCUCUGAGACCACUAUUCAAGACUUGGCAGGUGGACAAAUCCUCAGCUUAGGUCAUUUGAGUGGGAGACUUGAACAAUUAAUUUAACCCUGCUCAAAGCUAAUUUGGGGCAGAAGGAGUGGCAGAUGUCUGAUAGAUGGGCUACAGCUGAAUGUGUUACAAAGUAUUGCUGUAAUUGCAUCAGUGAAGGGUUUGCUGUGGAGGAAGUAAAAAUAAUGCAAGUUCUGUGAUUUGUCAGAAAACCCACAUUCUUCUGUGCCUGCGCUAAGUCUGUGCUAAGUUACUGUUUCCUUCAAUGGCUUGCUUUGUGUAUAACACAGCUUUCCAGCAUCCUACAGGUUCUUAAGACACUGAAGUGUUGCUUAGACUUUAACUCAUGUGUGGUCCAGCACACAAGACCCUGUUUAGCUAAAAACAUUAGUUUGAGUAAACAUCCCUUCCCAGUCUUGUCAAGGCAUGAUGCUUGCUGACAACUGACCUUCUACUGCUAAUGAGGCUUGAGAUGAAGCUGUGUAUCUCAGAUGAAUGCCAUGGGCCGCCACCUGCAUAAGUGAACUGUAGAUAAUGUUCACCAACAGCUGUUAUUGGUUGAUCCAUACAUAUAUAUGACAAGAUAUUGAAACCAGAUAGCCCUCAUAUAGUCAGUAGGGAGAAUGUGCACUCCUAAAUUAGGUGUUCUGAAUUGCCUCUUGGGCUCUGCUGAUUACGGAUGCUGUCUGGGCACCUAAGUUAGAUCCCUAAGGUUAGACAGCCUCAACAGCUCUGCCUUACAACUAGUCCAAGAUGCACCCUCUUUUAAAAAAGGAUUUCAAAAUGAAAAUAGGUCUGCAGCAUAUCUAAUAAUAUUCCAAAUUCCAUCUGUUCUGCCUUGCUUCGGCACCGCCUUUAAAAACAGAAGAAGAAAAGUAAUAUUUUGAUAAAAUAUUUAAAGAUCCAGAGCUUUGUCCAAAGCCAAGUAGUAAAGAGGCUCCACUUGAUUUUCAGAACUUAGUAUUUUGAUUUCAGCUUUGGAUUUCUAUUGAUGUAUCUCUGUUGCUUCAGUGGAUGCCCUCUGGCUUUACAGUGAUAUCAAAUAUGAUUUAAAAUCAUAACGGAAAAUUAGUCAGUCACACAAACGUUACAUGCAGAAGAAUUCCAUGAAUAUAUUGGCUUAUAGCCUUUCUGAAAGUAGAUUUGAAUGGUGUUAGUGAUUGAAAUCAAGUCCAGUGGACAGUUGGUAGUCAAGAAAUGUUAUAUUUAAUUCAAGCACAGAAUUAACCUUGAUACAAAAAGUAUACCAAGCAACUUUUACGAAAAUCAAAUCAUAUUAUCUGUUUUUUCCUUGGCUGCAUAUAAUACUCCCUUCCAGAAGCUGGGAAAUUUGCUCUUAGCCAUUAACAGUAUACCCCGCCACCUCAUCUUAUGUUGUUGUAAGUGAAGACAGCAAUUGCCUGCCUUCAAUUCUUCAUUAAAUUGGAAGAAUUAAUCCAUUCCUUACUCUCUGACCAGAACUUUUCGUAUAUAUCUUUGAGGGUUGUAAGGGUCUAAGCCCUUAAGAAAAUUAAUUAUUUAACAUAUAUCAGUGGCAAAGUAGCAUUUUGCAAAUAAAUUUCUUCCAAAUUAAUGUUGCUUAUAUUUU